UGCUUCCUACGGGGGGCAGCAGUGGGGAAUAUUGGGCAAUGGGCGCAAGCCUGACCCAGCAACGCCGCGUGAAGGAAGAAGGCUUUCGGGUUGUAAACUUCUUUUCUCAGGGACGAAGAAAGUGACGGUACCUGAGGAAUAAGCCACGGCUAACUACGUGCCAGCAGCCGCGGUAAUACGUAGGUGGCAAGCGUUAUCCGGAUUUACUGGGUGUAAAGGGCGUGUAGGCGGGACUGCAAGUCAGAUGUGAAAACCACGGGCUCAACCUGGGGCCGGCAUUUGAAACUGUAGGUCU
rnacentral:rRNA from 1 species